rnacentral:lncRNA from 1 species
UGGGGGAUUGUGAAGUCGAUUGUUGAUCUGUGUAUGAAGCUGAGUGAAGGAAAGUAUGUUCUUGUGAAGGAUCCAUCUAAGCCACAAGUUAGGAUUUAUGAGGUUCCCGCUGAUGCUUUUGAGAACGAUUAUGUGGAAGAGCCUCUCCCUGAGGAUGAACAGGUUCAGCCACCUGAGGAGAAUAACACUGAAGGAGGAGCGGAGGCUAAUGGAGCUUCUUCUACUAAUGAAGCUACAGAGGAGAAGAAACCAGAAGAUCAAGCCUGAUUAUGGUAAAAUG